rnacentral:lncRNA from 1 species
GCGGGGGGGGCGGGCGGGCCCGUCCGCGCGCCGAGGCCCGGGACAGAGACCGGGCGUUGCUUUGAGCUGAGAGAUGCACCUCAGGCCGAACGCCGGGAAACCACAGGCGCAGGAAGGUCAAGGCCGCGCUCGGCUCCAGCCCUGGGCAGCCCCUUCCCCCCGGGAGCGGAGGCCCGGGGCAGCGUGGACACCGACAAGCCCCCGGAGCGGCGCGCGGCGCAGGAGGCCCGUAGAGACGCCAACAGGGAGGAGCGCGGGGCAGUGGGGGCGCGAGCUGGAGGCGGGUCCUGCGGAGCCCAAGGACAGCGAGGUCGCGGCGGCCUCUUGGACAGCUUGGCUAAGGAUCAACCUCAAGAUGGAGAUGCCCCCGCCAAAGACCGAGAAGGAGCUCGGAAGAGCCAGCCCAGGAGAGGAGCCAGAUGAUGGGUCGGAGGCUCUGACACCAGCCUCACCUAGUGCAUUAAGGCAUAGGUGCACAUCUCAGAUCUUGGUAGGAUCUCCCACCUUGCCCUCUAAUUUGGUUUUAAAUCCCUGACUUCUUUCCCUUUUCCCAGUUAAAAAAAAAAAAAAAAAAAAAAGGUAAAACAAAUUAAAAAAAUUUAUUGGGAUAUAUACUUAUUCUCCCAAUGAUUUAAUUGUUGUUUAAGUCAAAUCUAAAAUUAAAGUCAACAAAAUGUGUGGUUUUCUUCAUCCUCCAUUAAUGAUGAGAACCGUCCUUUCAAAAACUACACUAAGACAAUGUCAUCCUAAAUAGCAAUCCGGCUUUAACUGUAGGGCAUUGAAUCACCUUGAAACAAAUUACAGUCACUAUGAUUAACCAAUAGGUACUGUACUGGGUAUUGUUGGGGUUUCUUUUUGGCAAACUUAGAACAAACCAGAGAACAAAAUUUAAGUCUUCAUCAUCAUGUAGAAAAAUAAAGUAAACCUAAAGUAUAUACCUAUGUGUCA